rnacentral:rRNA from 1 species
GUGGGGAAUCUUCCGCAAUGGACGAAAGUCUGGCGGAGCGACGCCGCGUGAGUGAAGAAGGCCUUCGGGUCGUAAAGCUCUGUCAUCAGGGACGAACGGCCGGUGGAGUGGAAAGCCACCGGAUUGACGGUACCUGAGAAGGAAGCCACGGCUAACUACGUGCCAGCAGCCGCGGUAAUACGUAGGUGGCAAGCGUUGUCCGGAAUUAUUGGGCGUAAAGCGCGCGCAGGUGGGAUCUUAAGUCCAUUUUGAAAGUUCGGAGCUCAACUCCGUGAUGGGAUGGAAACUGGGAUUCUUGAGUACCGGAGAGGAAAGCGGAAUUCCCCGUGUAGCGGUGAAAUGCGUAGAUAUGGGGAGGAACACCAGUGGCGAAGGCGGCUUUCUGGACGGUGUCUGACACUGAGGCGCGAAAGCUAGGGGAGCGAACGGGAUUAGAUACCCUGGUAGUCC